rnacentral:snoRNA from 1 species
AAAUUGCCUAUGAUGGUUAUAUAUACUUUGAGCAGCUCGCUAUGAAAUUCUCUUAAAAUCUGAGGCAUUUG